UGCAAUUUUGGCGUCGUGUUUAGAUUUUUUGUUAUCGUAUUCAUUGUGUGUCAAUUCUGCAUUAUUAACCUUUUUUUUGUCAUUUUUGUGUUCAAUAAAAAAAAUUUACAUAAUGUAGAAAUAAUGACAUUUUGUCACUCGUGUAAAUCAGACAUGAAUGUCAACAGAAACGUCAAAUAUAAGGUAUUUUUAUUUGUAUGUUUGAUUUACACGAGAGAUUAUCGUGAUUUAUGACAAACAAAUAAUAGAAAUGAUGACAUUUUGUUAUAAAUGCAUUUUGGAAUAAACGUCAACAGUACUUCACGAAAAGACAAAUAUUAUUUGUAUGAAAUCGUAUGAGCUAUAUCGCGCUUACCGGCAGCGAUUUAACGAAAUAUUUUAUUUGAAUCGGAGUAUUCGGAGUGCCGAAUCCAUCUACUCUUUUAUAAACCGAGCACCUCUACGAGCUGGCGAUUUUCAUAAAAAAUCGAUAAAAAAAAAAUCGCCACAACGAUUAAACGGAGUGAUUAAAAAGGAAAUUCUAAAAAAAAAAACUAUUUAAGGCCUUGUCUAGCAGGGCGCAAUCCAGUGAAAACUAUUGACUUUUGACCAAAUAUAUAUAUUUUGUAAAAAUAUAAUAAAAGGGUAGAACGCAUCACCGGACUACGCCCAGUUUAACCAGGCCUUAAAAUUCCAAAUAUUCCAACCGUCUCGUGUAGACUAGGUGUUAAGAUUAUUUUAUCAUCCCUGUUUUUUUUUUUCUUGUUGACAACAGAAAGAAUGAUGUAUGUGAGAAUAUGAAUGUUUGUGUAUUUCUUUCUCUUCUCUCUGGCUAGUUGGUAAUUUGGGUAUCUGCCGCGCAAAAUCUACGAACUAGAAAUACAAUCUACAUAGCAGGCGAUAGAAAUAGAAAAUUAGUUUGUUAAAAUGAAGAUUGAGGAACAAUCUGAAAGAAUAAAACAAAAUAUUGUUGCCGGUUGCAUCUUAAAGAAGGCUGAACUCAGAGAAUUCCUCAUCCGUAAGCCCGCAAGAGAUGGUUCCUCUGGUGUAGAGAUGUGUGUCAUACCCUCACGUAUUGAAAUCAUCAUCAUAGUUACCGAAACCUAACAGAUCUUGAGUCAUCACCGGAAAGUUGCGUGGUCAGCGUGCAAAAUCAAUUUGACGAUUUAAUGAAUAUCGCCACACGUCAUGUUCUGUUGCUUCAAGGAGUGGUGGGUCAAAGAUUUUGGCCAGCAGUAUUCACCGAGCGCUCAUAAUAUGUUUCGAAACUCAACUAAAAAAUCCUACUUGUUUAGCUCAUAAAUAUUUCCUUUCAGUUGGCUAGUGAGUGGUUUUUUUCGAGUUGUGAUUCUCAUACAGUUAUGAACCCUCGGUGAAUACGAGCUACGGCCCCAAGAACAAAAUUAGUCCAAAGAAGCCAUUGUCAGUGUUUUUGUACUCUGUUGUGGAGAGUCGAGACUGAGGAGGAAUGGAUUUACGAAACCUCUGGAGGAGUUUGCCGAGGCCAUUUAAAUUGGGGAAGGACGUCUGAGGACUCUAUUGUUUUUCUUACCAGGCUAAAAGUCUUGUGUUUAAAGCCUCUCAUAACAAAUAAAAGGAAUAUGUAUAUUGAAUUGAUUUAUAAUUUUUUUUAAU